AACGAACGCUGGCGGCGCGCCUAAUACAUGCAAGUCGAGCGAGAAGACGUAGCAAUACGUUUGUAAAGCGGCGAACGGGUGAGGAAUACAUGGGUAACCUACCCUCGAGUGGGGAAUAACUAGCCGAAAGGUUAGCUAAUACCGCGUACGCUCCUUGGACUUCGGUUCAGGGAGGAAAGCGAUACCGUGGGUACCGCGCUCUUGGAUGGGCUCAUGUCCUAUCAGCUUGUUGGUGAGGUAACGGCUCACCAAGGCUUCGACGGGUAGCUGGUCUGAGAGGACGAUCAGCCACACUGGCACUGCGACACGGGCCAGACUCCUACGGGAGGCAGCAGUAAGGAAUAUUGCGCAAUGGGCGAAAGCCUGACGCAGCGACGCCGCGGU
rnacentral:rRNA from 1 species